GACGUAGGGGGCCAGCGUUGUUCGGAAUUACUGGGUGUAAAGGGUUCGUAGGCGGUGUGGCAAGUCGGGAGUGAAAUCUCUGGGCUCAACCCAGAGUCUGCUUCCGAAACUGCUGUGCUUGAGUGUGGGAGAGGCGCGUGGAAUUGCAGGUGUAGCGGUGAAAUGCGUAGAUAUCUGCAGGAACACCCGUGGCGAAAGCGGCGCGCUGGACCACUACUGACGCUGAGGCGACGAAAGCGUGGGGAGCGAACAGG
rnacentral:rRNA from 1 species